AUGCCCCAGAAGUUCAACUACUUCAUGCAGUGCAAAAAACAGCACGUCAAAACACAGAGUGAGGUUCAAACAAACAUGCCCGUGAAGUUCAACUACUUCACGCACCUACAAAGUCUGUCGCACAGCCUUGUAACUUCUUACGCCAUUUCUAAAUUUGUACUAGUCCUCUGUACCUACCAUAUAACUGGAAUUAACCGAUGCAACUCCAAGAAGGAUUGGUCGGUGCUUCCGGCUGAUGUCAAGUUCGAUCCCACGGAUCAGGAGCUGAUCGAGCACCUUGAGGCCAAAGUGAGUGCUGACAGCGCGAGAUCUCACCCUCUCAUCGAUUUGUUCAUACCAACCAUCGACAGCGAGCACAACAUAUGCUACACCCAUCCUGAGAAACUGCCAGGUAUCACACUGAGUGGCCCAAGCAAGCAUUUCUUUCAGCGCAAUUCCAGGGCGUUCAAAAGGGGCACAUGGACAUGUUGCAAGAUACAGUCGCAGUAUGGCGUGCACGCGAUGUGGCACAAGACCGGCAAUACCUUGCCGGUGAUGGUCAAUGGCCGGUAG
rnacentral:rRNA from 1 species